rnacentral:misc_RNA from 1 species
GAUGAAGAACGCAGCGAAAUGCGAUAAGUAAUGUGAAUUGCAGAAUUCAGUGAAUCAUCGAAUCUUUGAACGCACAUUGCGCCCAUUAGCAUUCUAGUGGGCAUGCCUGUUCGAGCGUCAUUUCAACCCUUAAGCCCUGUUGCUUAGCGUUGGGAGCCUACAGUACUGUAGCUCCCCAAAGUUAGUGGCGGAGUCGGUUUCACACUCUAGACGUAGUAAUUUUUUCUCGUCUGUAGUUGAGCCGGUCCCCUGCCGUAAAACACCCAAUUUAUCAAGGUUGACCUCGGAUCAGGUAGGAAUACCCGCUGAACUUAAGCAUAUCAAAAGCGGAGGA